AUGAAAUGCAAACAAAAAGCAUGAAAAGAAAACAAAACAAAACGCGCAAUGAAUGCAUUUGGCCUGGCCUAAAAUUAGGCCGCCGCAUUCAUUGUAGUUGCAACUGGGCUGGUUGGCCGUCGUCGGGUGUUUAGCUCUGUCCUUUUGCUUGGGGUUUGUUUGCAGACGCCAAGUUUUAAUAAAAAUGUCGUUGAACUGCUCACAUAUUUGGCACCACAGACCACCGUCGUCAUCGUUUCGUUUUAUAUAUGUUUAUAAUAAUUACAGAGAUAUACGAGCAGCCAAUUGACCACCUCUGGCGUUCAGCUUGUCAUCAUCUGAUUCGUGUAAUUAAAAUUUAAAUUUAAAGUAAAAAAGCAACGUUGACAGAUCCAUUAGAGUUCAAGUUUAUUACAACAAGUUCAUCAGACUUGUAGCAGAUAGCAAUAAAAAGCUAAUAUGGAAACUUUUAGGAAAACUGUGGAAAGUCCUAUUGAGAAACAAUAAUCGAUUGCGUUCAUAAGGAAGCUGGAUUGGCCGGGUUGUGGAAAUAAUGGAAACUUAAUAUAAAAAAAACUUUGGGUGGCAAAUAAUGCCCGACUUCUAGGAAUCUCAAAAUCUGUCGGAUACAUUAUAUAUUCAAAAUUGUUUUGUAAAGUGGAUUUUUAAAUGGAAACCAAAAUGAUACUGUUAAAAUACCGGUUUUAACGGUUGUAGCCGGUAAUUUUACAUUUUUAUAAUUCUACAUAAACAAUAAACUUUAAGACUUCAAAAUUCCAAAUAACAACUAAUUCGUAAAAGGCCUUAAAAAUGAACCAAAGAAGCAACACGAAAUGUAUUUUGGUGGAAAAUUGUUGUAGAAAUCUUCAAAAUGUCGAACAUUAAGAGAUGCAGCUAUAUGAGGGAUAUAAUGGACUCAUUGUUAUUUGAGAAUCCAAAUUGAUAUUUUUCAUUUAAAAUCUUCAAAAUAUUUUAGAUCGGAACGUUAACUAAAAAAAUAACAAACUUUGAAAAUUCUGUUGGAAAAUGUGGCUAAAUUUUAUUUAAGAAAAACGUAGACAUGUACUGCAACCAACUUCAGGCAGCGUAGGAAGAAAACAGCAACAUUAGGAGAAAUGGUUCGAAAAGUAAAGAAACACUUGAUCGAAACCCACGCCUCAGUGCCCGAAGAAUGGCUCCUGAGCUGAACAUAUCGCAAUAUUCCUGUCGGCAAAUAUUGAAAAAUGAGCUCGGGGUCAAGCAAUUGAAAUUCCAAAAAGUGCAAGAACUUACACCGCAACAGAAAGAAAAUAGACUCAAAAGAGCUAAAGAGUUGCUUCGCUUGGCCGAAAGUGGUGAACUGCCGAAUUUGGUUUUCUCUGAUUAGAAAACAUUCGCUUCAUUUCCAGCGCACAAUGGCUCCGGAUACCAAUCCGUUGGACUAUUGUGUCCGGAGUAUUUUGGAAACCUAGGUUGGCACUAAAAAAUACCAAAGUGUCGAUCAAUUCAAACAACCGCUUAGACGGGAAUGGGUCAUUGGCCGUUUAAAGGCCAUAUUUCGGGCCGUACAAAUCUAAACCUUUUUUAAAAUUUGAUGCUAUUUCCUGCAUUUUUUGCUUGGGAUUACCCACCCCCGAUAUAGUCUCUUACAGUUGUAUCAGGCAGUCACCCUAACCUUUUAUAAGUACAGAUAUGUGCUAGACAGAGCAUGUAAAAAUUAUUUUGUGAUUGUACGUGUUUUUAAUUAACCAAGCUAAAUGAAAUCAGUCGGUUUUGCCGAAUGCUUCAUGCCGUUAGCCAAUGUUCGGUUAUUAAAAUAUAUUUGGAAUUGCGUUAUGAUUAUUCAUACUGUUGACCCUUCAUAAGAGAGGUUCCAAAGGAAUGGACCAAUUUGGAUAUUUUCCCUUUCGUAUCUGACAAAAGUCUGAUAAAAAUAUUAAAGCGUAUCAGAUUUGGAUUUUAUAUUGACUACUGGCUUCCCUUUAAAUUAGAUAUUUUAUAAUAUUUCGAAAAGUUCGCGUUCUAUGAGAGCUAUAAGUAUUUAUAUUUUGACCCAUUGUGCGGCAGAUACCAGAAGGAGUAGUCCGAUAUUGCCCAUCUUCACAACACAUCUGGUGUUGAUGGAAGUAUUGGCAUGUGCCGAGUUUGAAAGUAAUCGGAUGCUGCUUUUGUGUUUUAUGUGCUUAAUGUUCAUUCCAAAUUUGACCGUUUGUAGGGAGGUACUAGACGAAGUGACCCGUUCAGUCCGUUCUUCAUACCAGACCUUGUGUUCGUGGAAAUAUUGUAAUGUGCGAAAAUUGAAGAUAAUCGGACUCUUAGUUACGAGCUUCAUUUUUACGAGCCUCGUGGUUAUUCACAAUUUUGACACUUUAUGAGGGAGGUACCUGAAGGAGUGGACCGAUAUAUUUUGUCUUCAUUCGAAGACAAUCAUACUCUCACAUCACAUUUUAUAAGAGUUAUAAUAAUUAAAAAUUUUGACACUCUGUGGGGGAGGUACCGGAUGGAGUAGAGCGACAUUGUCCUAGCACUGAUGCAAAUAUACGGAUUCGCAAAGUUGGAGCAAAACCUAAAAAUCUAACAUCUAAAUUGGUAUACAAAUUUGUCGGAUGGAAAAUUUAUUGAGGAAAGAUAAAUUUAUACAACUGUAAGUUUUCCAAUUUAGGAAAUAAUGUCUCAAUAUAGCAUUUUAUAUUUAUGUAUUCCAAUAAUUCUAACGGUGUAUUCAGAAAAAUAUACGACAGCACCUUCCUCAUCCACUACUUGAAAACACACAGACAUCCCGUGAGACUCUCUUUGCUUGCCGAACUGGAUCAACUCUAAAGCUUAUGUUUUUCUCAAGAAAAUUAUUUUAUACAAAGAUAGUAGUAGUAAAAUGUGUUGUGUCCUAAUUAGGAAGUUUUAAGUUUACAAUUAUGCUCUAAAUAAGUUAUGUUUUCCAAUUUUAAUAUCCAAUCCAGGCUCAGAGCAUUAAAUGGUCCUCUCCUCAGUUACUCAUAUGGACUUAACAACUUGUUUACUUUUUAUUUCAAGUAUUAAUGUGUCACCCACAACAAAGUUUUUUUUUUUGUGUUUGGCUCACAAUUAUUUACACCACAACAUUUUCCCUGCAACAACACCAUCUGCUUCCUGCUCCCAAUCUUUUGUUGUCUCGAAUCAGAGAAAAUGGAAAUGCUUUUCCAUUUUAGUGCACUCGUAACAUAUUCAUUUCAUUUUUUCGUCGUCUUCUCAAGAAACUCCAUUCAUUCAUUCAUCCAUCUUCUCCUUUAUUUUUUAUGCCACAGCUAAAGCAAAGUCGUUCUACUCCAGUUUCUAUAACAAAUGCGGCAGUUAGUUGCAGUUGCAUGCAUCCAUAAAAUGGAGUAGCGCUUUUGAAAUGCAUGGAACCACACUUCCAACGUCCACUCUUUUUUGUUGUUUGUUUGCUCCGUUGGAUAUGUUGGAUAUUUACAUACCAUGGCGGUUAUGGUUUGAAACUUUGCUUUUGUUGUUUCCUCGAAAUCUUAAAGAAACUCACGUUGCUGCUUUUUGUCGUUUCUGGUUGCUCCAAUUGUCUAAAGAAUUGUGUUUGGUUUUUGUCGAUAUUUUUUUGACAACUUCCAUGAGGAAAAGCAGCAUGAUGAAUCGGAAAAAAAACGGAAAAGAAAAAGGUCAACAAUCGGGUCACAUGGCAUGACAAGCGGAGAGUAAACAAUAGGAGCUGUGUAACCUAAAGAAAAACAACACGAUUAUAGGCGCUUUUUCCUUUAUAGAUUUUUUUUUAACAUUUUAUGUUCAACAUUAAGAAAAUCCAAAUCACAGUGGUUAAUACCCAUUACGAACUUCAAAUACGAAAUUUGUUACAAUUGCGGUAAAUAAUGUCGCUAAAAUCAUUAAAAUAACGAGUAUCGGAAGGUAUCGUUAUAUGGGAGCUAUACGAAGACGUGGACCUGCAUACACAAAUUCAUAGGCUGCAGUGCCCAUUACGAACUUUAAAUAUGAAAUUUGAAAUAAUUUCGGUAAAUAGUGUCGCUAAAAUCAUUCAAAUGCCGAAAUUCGGGAGGUACCGUUAUAUGGGGGCUAUACGAAAGCGUGGACCGACAUCGUCCAUUUACUAAUUUCACCUGCCUACUUGUAAACUAUGCAUGUAUGCUAAAUUUUAGCCUUCAAUCUCAAUUUGUUCGAAAGCUAGCGUGAUUACAACAGAUAGACGGAGAGACACAGAAAAUAUAUACUUUGAAUGGUCCAUUAUGAAUAUUUUGAUGAGUUACAAACUGAAUGACAAAGCUAAUAUACCCUCCAUAGAAUGGUGGAUGGUAUGAAAAUAUAGGAGCAAGCCAGACACUUUUCUCAUAUGAAUCCACUGUACAGCUAUAUUUUAAUUUAUAUCUGCCGCCUUGGAGUUUUUCGAAUGACACAAAAUCACGGAUUCCUCUAGCAACUGACCCAAGCAUUUCUCAUUGAUGUGUUAAACAGCAGAACAGUCGAUUCCACAUAAAUUGUAUCAAAAAAUUUCAAAAACUUGUUGUUAAACCCUCCAAUAUUAUCUGAAUCAGCUGAGGAUUAUUUCCAGAACGGCAUCGAUUCGGAACGAACUAUUUCAAAAUAUUAAAUAACAAUAGCACUGAAAGGCUUAGACUUUUAAAUUCUACUUUAUUUUCAUUUACCACUCAAAAAAAAAUUGUUAGGAUUUGCGUGCUUUGGAGGGAGAGUGAAAUCCGCUCGAGCAGAUUCUACUGUCGUUGCUUACUCUAUUUUGAAUAUUUCGCCUCCCACUCUUAUUUUUCAAACAGAAGUAACUCUCAAGAUAUCCCACAUAAAACCAGGAGGUGAUCUUAUACAGAAAAAUACACAUGCAUAGAUAUCCAACAACGGUAUGACAAGAGCUAAAAAAGUGCUCGGCAAGACUAGAAUCUGUUCGAUUUUGGAAAAUUUUGCUCCCACUCAUAAACGAGGAAAAUGUGCUUACUUAUAUUCGAGCGACAUCGAAAAAUUUGCCCGAUUUUUUCUGCAACCUGGAUAGCAGUCGCUCGAAUUCCAGAGAGUUUCAUUCUUUAUAAAAAUUCGAGCGAGUUUUUCGGAGGUCUGCUCCGAACUGUCCAAAUUAGACCAAUCGCCUGGUCAUUAAAUAGAUGAUAAUUCCUAUUGUAGGCCUUAAAAAAAUUUUGAUUUAGCAAAGAGAAUAACUAAAGAAAAAAUAAGGUUUUCCAAUUACAUUAUUUUUUCUUUAGUUGUCCCGUGAUUUACUUACACCAAAUUGUCCUACAUUCUUUCAAAUAUGCCAAAUUUCGUUUAUCCAUAACUGACCGUAGUUGCAACUUAAUUCGUUUUGAGUUUCAAAUUCACUUUUCCUUACAAUGACAAUGGUCGUGAUAGAUUUCGGUAAUUUAAAGUUGAGUAUUUGGCCACACUUUUUUUGAAUGGACCAAAAAAUAACAUUUACUUUUGGUUUCGGUUCAACGUCGUUUUCAUUUCAGGUCACUUUAAUGAAAUCUAUUUUUCUCUUUUAUACUAAAAAAAUAUACACAAUUUUUUAACAUUUUUGUUUUUUUUUUGAAAUUUUUAGUGAUAUUUCAAAGUAAUGCU